rnacentral:rRNA from 1 species
GAUGAACGCUGGCGGCGUGCCUAAUACAUGCAAGUCGAGCGAACGGACGAGAAGCUUGCUUCUCUGAUGUUAGCGGCGGACGGGUGAGUAACACGUGGAUAACCUACCUAUAAGACUGGGAUAACUUCGGGAAACCGGAGCUAAUACCGGAUAAUAUUUUGAACCGCAUGGUUCAAAAGUGAAAGACGGUCUUGCUGUCACUUAUAGAUGGAUCCGCGCUGCAUUAGCUAGUUGGUAAGGUAACGGCUUACCAAAGCAACGAUGCAUAGCCGACCUGAGAGGGUGAUCGGCCACACUGGAACUGAGACACGGUCCAGACUCCUACGGGAGGCAGCAGUAGGGAAUCUUCCGCAAUGGGCGAAAGCCUGACGGAGCAACGCCGCGUGAGUGAUGAAGGUCUUCGGAUCGUAAAACUCUGUUAUUAGGGAAGAACAUAUGUGUAAGUAACUGUGCACAUCUUGACGGUACCUAAUCAGAAAGCCACGGCUAACUACGUG